GGCUUUGCACAAGCUCGCACGGGCCUCUACAGGCUCGCAGAGGCCUGCUACGGGCUUGUGUGGGCUCGCACGGGCGCGCACGGGCUCGCAAAAGUUCGCACGGGCCUCUACGGGCUCGCACAAGCUCGCACGGGCCUCUACGGGCUCGCAGAGGCCUCCUACGGGCUCCUACGGGUUCGCACGGGCGCGCACGGGCCUCUACGGGCUCUCAGAGGCCUCCUACGGGCUUGUACGGGCUCGUGCGGGCUCGCACGGGCUCGCACGGGCGCGCACGGGCGCGCACAUGCCCGCACGGGCCUCUACGGCCUCGCAGAGGCCUCCUACGGGCUCGUAUGGGCUCGCACGGGCGCGCACGGGCUCGCACAAUCUCGCACAGGCCUCUACGGGCUCGCAGAGGCCUCCUACGGGUUCGUAUGGACUCGCACGGGCGCGCAUGGGCUGACACGGGCUCGCACAAGCUCGCACGGGCCUCUACGGCCUCGCAGAGGCCUCCUAUGGGCUCGUAUGGGCUCACAUGGGCACGUGCGGGCUCGCACAAGCUCGCACGGGCCUCUACGGGCUCGCAGAGGCCUCCUACGGGCUCGUAUGGGCUCGCACGGGCUGACACAGGCUUGCAAAAGCUCGCACGGGCCUCUACGGGCUCGCAGAGGCCUCCUACGGGCUCCUACGGGCUCAUGCGGGCUCGUACGGGCUGACACGAGCUCGCCCAAGCUCACACGGGCCUCUACGGGCUCGCAGAGGCCUCCUACGGGCUCGUACGGGCUCGCACGGGCUCGCACGGGCGCGCACAGAAUGACAAGGGCUCGCUCAAGCUCGCACGUGCCUCUACGGCCUCGCAGAGGCCUCCU
rnacentral:lncRNA from 1 species